rnacentral:piRNA from 1 species
UGAGUGAUCCACAGACUUCAUUAGAUCCA